rnacentral:rRNA from 1 species
AUGGAAGGCCGAAUUCCUUUCAGAGAUAUUACAAAUGUUCACUCGAUGACUUCACCAAAAGGGAACCAACUAGCUGCGGUUGCAGAGCAGAAUGAUCCUUUAGCAGAAACCAAUAAGGCUAUCCAAAUGAAUUCUUCCCAGCGUAAGCGUUACCGCGACCGGGAUAGGUAUCUGCAAAUGACUCCAUAUCAGAGGGAAGCCUAUCUGCAAAGGAAUCGUGAGUAUAAAAGAAUGCGGCGUGAGUGCAGUGCAAUUUGUAACAACACACAACCAGCACCACAACAGAAAAUUUUGAGAUCUAAUAAUAAGAACCAAUCCAUGACAGGAGAGGAAGUCGUGGGCAGUUCAAACUAUGAGAGGCACGAUUCAGUAUUUACUCAACUAGGGUCUUCAUCAAAAGGCAAACAAGAUAGUGGUGGUUCUGAGACAAGCCGUCCAAAAGCUGGAACUCGGUUCACUAUCAGUCCAUCUGGCAUAUAUUUAUCCUCGAUAUCCUCGCAAGAACAAGCUACAAAGUAUGAAUUGAAAAAUGUGGGUCAGCGUAAGCGACAGCAUUGCACCAAUGUGUACUCACAACUAUCACAUGAUCAAGAAGAAACACAUGUACAAGAGAUUUGUGGCCCUAAUAAAAGAAAGAGGUCAGAAAAAGGAAGUUGUAGUACUGCACGGGAUCCUGGUAGAAAUACCAACAACUUGCAUGAAGACAUCAUUUAUGUGCCCCAGGAUUAUUUUCCUGUCAUUCAUGAUUAUCUGGCAAAUACCGAAGACAACAUUGAGUGCGAUGAGGUGGAUGAUGAAAGUCUUAUGUAUAAUGGGCCAGGUCUUGACUUUGAAUCAUAUCAAGAACCAAAGCUUGUUACAAGAUGUAUACAAGCAGAUCCAUAUGAUCGUAUAUAUCAUAAUGUGCCCAGUGGUCAUCAUUUUCUAGAGCGAGUGCCCAACUGUAGACAUUGUAAUGCGAAAAGGUUCCCAUAUGAGACACCAACUUUUUGUUGCAUGAAUGGAAAGGUGAAGGUAGUAACCCCAGUGGUUCCUGAAGAAUUGCGUCAGUUGUACACGAGUCAGGAUCCAAAUGCAAAAUACUUCCAAGAUCAUAUACGGGCCAAAUUUAUCACCGUAUUGACCAGUUGGUUCCAAAAGAAGAUGGCCCCAAGCAUUUACAGUUAUACUUCUAUGACACGGAUGCAGAUUUGCAACAAAGAUUUCUUCACUCGCCUAACUUAA